AUUGAACGCUGGCGGAAUGCUUUACACAUGCAAGUCGAACGGCAGCACGGACUUCGGUCUGGUGGCGAGUGGCGAACGGGUGAGUAAUACAUCGGAACGUGCCCAGUCGUGGGGGAUAACGUAGCGAAAGCUACGCUAAUACCGCAUACGAUCUAAGGAUGAAAGCGGGGGAUCGCAAGACCUCGCGCGACUGGAGCGGCCGAUGGCAGAUUAGGUAGUUGGUGGGGUAAAGGCUCACCAAGCCGACGAUCUGUAGCUGGUCUGAGAGGACGACCAGCCACACUGGGACUGAGACACGGCCCAGACUCCUACGGGAGGCAGCAGUGGGGAAUUUUGGACAAGGGGCGAAAGCCUGAUCCAGCCAUUCCGCGGGCAGGAUGAAGGCCCUCGGGUUGUAAACUGCUUUUGUACGGAACGAAAAGGCUCUGGUUAAUACCUGGGGCUCAUGACGGUACCGUAAGAAUAAGCACCGGCUAACUACGUGCCAGCCGCCGCCGUAACAC
rnacentral:rRNA from 1 species